rnacentral:lncRNA from 1 species
UAUAUAAAUUUAAUCAUUUGGUAAGUCAAUACUCACCUCUAGAUCAAUCAAUACUUCAUUUCUAAAAUAUGGUGUUCAUCAUUAUUAGUAUAUAGUAUAUAACUUUCUAACUUUGUCUAAUUUGAAAAAAAUUAUAUAUAUAUCAUUUCUUAGAUUUCAUGAACUCAUAGAUGCAAAGAUCUUCAAAGAAACAAAAUGGAGAUUUGAAAGAGGAGAAAAGGGCACACAA